GCCACCUCCUUCCUGGGAAUGUAUGUCCCUGCCAGGAAAUAAAACGCUCACUUGAUUAGACAUCUAACACCAUAUGAUGUCACCUUUAAUGUAUCGAUACAUUACGAUGGAUGCAAUGCACUUUACUGUGAUUUUAACUUCACAAAUCCUUAUUACCAACUGGCUCCAUUUAGGUAAACAAGUCCAGGCUGCCGCACAAAACUCAGCAGUGGUACCUGGUCCCUCAAACAGCCACUCGUCUCCUGCUACCCUCUUCUCCCCACCCUCCUCUUCAAAGUCCAGCAGGGCCUGCAGACGCAGGGCUGUGUCCGGG